GAGUUUGAUUAUGGCUCAGGAUGAACGUUGGCGGCGUGCCUGAGAUAUGCAAGUCGAGCGAUCCCGCCUUUGGCGGGAAGCGGCGAACGGCUGAGUAAUACGUAGGAACCUGCCCCUAAGUCGAGGAUAGUCCGCCGAAAGGCGGAGUAAUACUCGAUAGUCCCCGCUUAAUUUGGUGGGGUAAAGGAUCUAACCGUCCGCUUAGGGAGGGGCCUGCGGCCUAUCAGGUAGUUGGUAGGGUAACGGCCUACCAAGCCGAUGACGGGUAGCUGGCCUUAUGAGGGUGGUCAGCCAGAGGGGGACUGAGACACGGCCCCCACUCCUACGGGAGGCAGCAAUCAGGAAUCGUCGGCAAUGGGCGAAAGCCUGACCGCGCGACGCCGCGUGCGGGAAGAAGCUCUUCGGAGUGUAAACCGCUGUGGUAGGGGAGGAAGCCCCGCCGUUGGCGGGGUUGACAGUACCCUACUAGAAAGGGGCCGCUAACUGCGUGCCAGAAGCGUCGGUAAUACGUGGGCCCCAAACGUUAUCCGGUGUCACUGGGCGUAAAGGGUCGUGUAGGCGUCCCGUCAAGUUUUACCUCAAAGACUAUGGCUCAACCAUAGGAAGGGGUAAAAAACUGACGGGAU
rnacentral:rRNA from 1 species